ensembl:lncRNA
AUUGGAGGUUUCUGCAUACCUGAAUCCUUCUGAAGGUCCUCAGGUGCUCAAGUGAGAGAAGCGUGUGCUUAUCAUGUGCAGUAUUAUCUCCUGUGCUCUCUAAAUACUCUUUGGUGACAAAAGUUCAUUGCGAGGGACCUCUGGAGAUCGUCUGUUUUAACUUCCCAUGUGAAGUGAAACUGCUGCUGGUGCUGGACCAGGUCAGCCAUGGCUUUUUCUGGACCCGGUUUAUGGAACUGCUGGCAGUAGCUGCAGAUCUAUUUGAAUCAAAAUGAAAGCUGAUGGAAGAAAUCAAAAAUGCAGUGCAGCAGCUCAGUGUUGAUGCAUACCAAGGAUGGUAAAGACCACAUCAAGGAGUGGGCAGGAGAUCUGGCAGCUGACACGGUGUCCUGUCUCCAGUUGCUUGCCUGCGUCCCUGUGCUACUCCAUCUGUUGUCCUUGUUGGGAAACCAAACAAGAUUCUUAUAUUGGCUUUCUGAUUGUUAUUCUAAGCUGUGGAUAGAAGAACGACACACACUAACAAACAACCUCACUUUGCAGAGCUGGGGCAUUACAGAAUUAAGCUGUCAAGAGGAAGGUUACAGUCCAUUUUGACACAGCUGCAGAAGUUAAAAUUCACUCUCGAUGUUUUCAUUCACUGCUGAGGAUUUUUUCUGCAAGUGGGCAUUUAAUACAGUUGAGAGAAAAAGACUUGAUUGCAAGGGAGAAAAGUAAGGAAGAUCAUUAGUUAAAAAAUUUGGCCCAGCUGGGGAAGAGACAAUAAUUAAUGUUUAUGGUUUGUUAUGGACUAUUUAUAGGAUAUGAUGGAUUUUUAUUCUGUGUAGUUUUCUACUGCUUUGUACUUUGUUAUGCAGUCUGGAACUUAUUGUGAAGAUAAGGACCAGCAUUUACUAUUUUGUAUAUUAGUAGUUCACGAAGUAGGGGUUAUUAGAUCAACUCUUUUGCAGUUCAGUAGCUUUUUUGUAAUGUUAGCUUAUUGAAAGUGUGUGUGUUCUAUGUAGAUGGGCAGAAACUAAGCAAAUGAACUUCCUAAUACUUAAACAAAUGCUCAAAGCAAAGAUGUAACGCUGGUAGAUCUAGCAAGCCUAACCUCAGGCAUGAAUAUGAAUGUUUUACAGGUUCUAUUAAAGAGAGGACUUCCCACUAAAAAAAGAAGUCUUAGGGAGCUAAUGCCAUAAUGAAUGUACCAAAUAAGAGAUUGUGCUAAAUAAAAAAUGAAUGAAAAU